AAUGCUCAGCUGAUAGCUUAGGCUUGUUACUAGCUAUCUCUUACACUUAAAUUAACCCAUAAUUCUUAUCUAUAUUUAGCCACAUGGCUUGGUACCUUUUCCAAUAAGACAUUCUUUGCUUCUUUGUGUUUUCCCUCAAUUCUCUGACUCUGCCCUUUCUCUUCCCAGAAUUCUAGUCUGGCUCUCACACUCAAUCUCUUCCAGCCCAGCUGUUGGCCAAUAAGCUUUAUUAUUAACAAUGAGCAUAAUCCGCAGCAACUUGAAGUUGUAAUGACAGGGGCUAAGGGAAGCUGAUAAGGCCAAGUGUCCCUGCAAGGAGGCCUAGAGAUGCCCUUGUGUGAAGCUGUAAAGGGGAAGCCUGGAUUACAUUGGAGACCCCAAGGUGUUGGAGAUGCCAGAGUUCUGGGUUAACUGCCAAGGAAAGCUGCAGACCAGUGUGAAUCCAUUGGUGCUCCUUGAGACGAGACCUGUGGCUCAAGGCUUCCCUAAACUCAAGACAAUCGAAGGACAUCUCUCAAGUAGACGAUGCAGAAUUGAGUGAGGCCUGCACUCUUACAAAACGUCUCCAGCAUUCCCUACAUUAGAAAGAGCCUCACUAUUUACCCCUGGCUGUCCUGGAACUCACUAUGUAGACCAGGUUGGCUUCAAGUUCACCAUUGCCUCUCCAGUGCUGGGAUUAAAGGUACACCCUAUCUCACCCAGAUUAGCUCUAGUUACUGCCUGUUGUUACUUCAAUCCCCUGAGUUUCACUCUGAACUUCCUGGUCUCUAUCAGCCCUUUGAAGAUUUUGCUUCUGGCCUAGACCCCAGGCAUGAGCAGUCAAGCACCUGCUGGUGCUGCUAAUAAUGGAAACAGUAGCCACUGCUCAGCAGAGUGGGAAAGCUGUGGAAUGCUUUAAAAAUAUUUAUUGGCCGUUUGUGCUUCUUUUAUUGAGAACUGUCUGUUCAGUUCAUUUGUUUGUUUAUUGACUGGUAAGUAUUGUUAUUCUGGAUAUUAACUUCUUGUCUGAAAAUAUAGCUGGCCAAGAUUUUCUCCCAUUCCAUCAACCUGUCUGCUCACUUUGCUGAUGUUUUCCUUCUUUUUUUUUUCAGAGCUGAGGACAGAACCCAGGGCCUUGCGCUUCCUAGGCAAGUGCUCUACCA